rnacentral:rRNA from 1 species
CGGACGGGUGAGUAACACGUGGACAUCUGCCCCCGGCCCGGGAUAGCCCAGGGAAACCUGGAUUAAUACCGGAUGAGACGGGACCCGCGAAGGCGGGACCCGGGAAAGGCGCUGCGGCGCCGCCGGGGGAUGAGUCUGCGUCCCAUUAGCUAGACGCGGGGUAACGGCCCACCGUGGCGACGAUGGGUAGCCGGCCUGAGAGGGUGGACGGCCACAUUGGAACUGAGACACGGUCCAGACUCCUACGGGAGGCAGCAGCUAAGAAUCUUCCGCAAUGGGCGAAAGCCUGACGGAGCGACGCCCCGCGUGAACGAAGAAGGCCGUGAGGUUGUAAAGUUCUUUUUCGGGAGGGGGAACAACCGUGGCAGGGAAUGGCCGCGGGAUGACGUGAAUCCCGGAAUAAGCCCCGGCUAACUACGUGCCAGCAGCGGC